GAUGAAGAACGCAGCGAAAUGCGAUACUUGGUGUGAAUUGCAGAAUCCCGUGAACCAUCGAGUCUUUGAACGCAAGUUGCGCCCGAAGCCAUUAGGCCGAGGGCACGCCUGCCUGGGCGUCACACGUCGUUGCCCCCCCGUCUACUCCUUCGGGAUUGCGGGGGGCGGAUGAUGGCCUCCCGUGCGCCUCGCCGCGCGGUUGGCAUAAAUGCCAAGUCCUCGGCGACGCACGCCACGACAAUCGGGGGUUGCGAAACCUCGGUUGCCCGUCGUGUGCGGUCGUCGCGCAUCGAGGGCUCGAAAAAAUUGCCGGGUUCCGGCUCGGCUUUCAACGCGACCCCAGGUCAGGCGGGGUUACCCGCUGAAUUUAAGCAUAUCAAUAAGCGGAGGA
rnacentral:misc_RNA from 1 species